UUAGUUGGUUGCGUCACAGAAGGAGAGGUACGUAAUCUACGCCAAACUCCUGUGUUAUGAUUUAAUGUGUUCCAACAUGUUUCCCAUUCAUUCUUUUCAUGUCGUAUUUUGGUCAGUGGUUCAUUUUUUAACCUCAAGGUCUCCGAAUUUGUAAGUAGAGAUUUUCUCAGCCAGUAAUUUUCAAGAUAUUUAACGUGUACAUAAAGUACACCAGAUAUUCACACCGUGACUAUUCCAAGCUUUUCAUGAACUUAGAAAGCGAAUGCGAACACCAGCAGUUGAAUUACAUGACAUGUGUCGUUAUACAUGAUCCUGUCAAACACACUCUCAGGCAACGAAAUGCUUUGCGUGGGGCAUAUUUGGAUCAUGAGGACCCCGACACAAGAGGAUUGCAUGUGUACACGACGAUGGUUUUGCCUUCUGAAGGUGUCCCAUAUGAUUUCGAUCUGCUGCAAAAUUCAGCAAUAUAGUUCAAUUCCCUUCCUGUAUAUCUGUGCCCUGCAGAAAAUUGCACAUCCCGAACAUGCUCAAACGUAUAUUUGGAACGUUCAAAUGUUAGGUGUCUUCGACGACCACAUUCUAGACGACAGAAAUAGUAAAAGGAUUCACGUUCUACGUGACCGCUCUGUUUCUUACAGAAACCAGGACCUGAAGUAUUGAUCUUCACUUGAAUGGAAUAACCGCAGAUCUGUUUGUAGAAUCAGGAGCUGUAUAACCAGUUCUUUAAUACAAGGCUAUGUUUGGUCUCACGUGACUUCCAAGAGUUCCACAAAUUCAAUUGGGGGACGUAAUUGAGAGUACUUGAGUCAAGCAAUUUCAGCUAGUUAGACAUAUCCUUGCAGUUUUUCCGGUUGUAGGAAUAUGAACGGCUUCACAUUUUUUAACAGAACAUGACAUUUAUAGUUUGUUCCACAGGCCAGGCAAGAAAAUGUCUGUUUCCAUGUCGGAAAUGGUACAAGCGAAUGGUUCUGUCUUGUAGAUUCCAUAUAGAUUCCGAGUAUAUUCUAUUUUAAUGGGGAGUCAAUCUCAAGUUGCAUCUGUAGACGUGUUGACCUUUCACAGGUUGUUUCUCCUAACAUGACC
rnacentral:lncRNA from 1 species